CCUACGGGAGGCAGCAGUGGGGAAUUUUCCGCAAUGGGCGAAAGCCUGACGGAGCAAUACCGCGUGAGGGAGGAAGGCUCUAGGGUUGUAAACCUCUUUUCUCAGGGAAGAACAAAAUGACGGUACCUGAGGAAUAAGCAUCGGCUAACUCCGUGCCAGCAGCCGCGGUAAUACGGAGGAUGCAAGCGUUAUCCGGAAUGAUUGGGCGUAAAGCGUCCGCAGGUGGCAUUGCAAGUCUGCUGUCAAAGGUCAGGGCUCAACCCUGAAAAGGCAGUGGAAACUGAAAUGCUAGAGUGCGGUAGGGGUAGAGGGAAUUCCCGGUGUAGCGGUGAAAUGCGUAGAGAUCGGGAAGAACACCAGUGGCGAAGGCGCUCUACUAGACCGCAACUGACACUCAUGGACGAAAGCUAGGGGAGCGAAUGGGAUUAGAUACCCUGGUAGUC
rnacentral:rRNA from 1 species